UACGGGGGGGGCAAGCGUUGUUCGGAAUUACUGGGCGUAAAGGGCUCGUAGGCGGCCAACUAAGUCGGACGUGAAAUCCCCAGGCUUAACUUGGGAACUGCGUCCGAUACUGGAUGGCUUGAAUCCGGGAGAGGGAUGCGGAAUUCCAGGUGUAGCGGUGAAAUGCGUAGAUAUCUGGAGGAACACCGGUGGCGAAGGCGGCAUCCUGGUCCGACACCGACGUUCAGGCACGAAAGCGUGGGGAGCAAACAGG
rnacentral:rRNA from 1 species